GCGCCCGUAGCUCAGCUGGAUAGAGUGUUGGCCUCCGGAGCCAAAGGUCCCGCGUUCGAAUCGCGGCGGGCGCGCCA
rnacentral:tRNA from 1 species